CUGGGAUGGUGCGGCCUCGGUCCCCACCGGGAAGGCAGAGUGGCCCAGCGUGGGCGGCAGAGGUGAGGGAGGGAACGCUGCUCUGAGGCCUUUUUCUUGUAGCUCCAGACAAAUUAAAAACCUCCUUACCGGCCAUUCAUUCUGAGGAGGCCUCUUCCUUCCUCCACAGGGGGGCUGCUGUGUUGGAAGCCGAUCGGAUUCAGGGAGGCUGGGCCUCCUGGAGUUCUCAAGGAGGGGGAGCGGCAAGAAUGGAAAGAGAGAGGCCCUAACCCUGAAGAGACUGGCAGGCAGGGAGUGGGGGCAAAGUGCAGCCCAGGUCACUGGGAAAAAAGAAAUCUCAAAGUAAGGGAGUGGGGGAAAGUUCCACUUUUCAGCCUAAUUAUGAAAGAGGCCUCGGUAGAGAGAGGCGGGGGAGCCCAAAGAAGAGAGAAAAGGGAAGUGAGAUGUUGCAGAGAGCAGAAAGAGAUUCUCAGGGGGCACAGGCUAUUGAAGGAACGCAGGCAGGGAAAGGUGCCGCCUCUUCAAACGUGGGUCUGUUAUAACUGAUUUUGAGAGACCUGGAAGCACGUUUGCCUGGGACUCCCAAAGUGGGAGGGCAAAAUGCCCUAUUAAGGGUGGGACGAAUUGAUUUCCCAAAGAAGCACAGCACCAUUUCCUCCAAAUGCCCUCUGCAGUCCUCCUUAAUCUGCCCUGGAGGCAGCAGGUGACCUCUGCACAGGCCCCUGGAGGCGCCUUUGUUCGGGGGCAUUCUGCGGCUCGCCCCGCCCCCUCCCCUUGCACCUGGGCAGCAGCCUCAAAAUGCACUUGUCCACCCUUGGCCGGCUCCCGUGGUGGGAUGGCUGAUGCCUUUGGAAAAAAAAAGAGUGCCUGCAAUACUUUAUCUGCUGUAACAACUUCACCAACUGUCUGGGUUCCACCCCGAGGAUUUCACUGA
rnacentral:lncRNA from 1 species